rnacentral:rRNA from 1 species
UCUUGGUCAUUUAGAGGAAGUAAAAGUCGUAACAAGGUCUCCGUUGGUGAACCAGCGGAGGGAUCAUUACAGAGUUGCAAAACUCCAACAAACCAUCGCGAAUCUUACCCGUACGGUUGCCUCGGCGCUGGCGGUCCGGAAGGCCCUCGGGCCCCCGGAUCCUCGGGUCUCCCGCUCGCGGGAGGCUGCCCGCCGGAGUGCCGAAACCAAACUCUUGAUAUUUUAUGUCUCUCUGAGUAAACUUUUAAAUAAGUCAAAACUUUCAACAACGGAUCUCUUGGUUCUGGCAUCGAUGAAGAACGCAGCGAAAUGCGAUAAGUAAUGUGAAUUGCAGAAUUCAGUGAAUCAUCGAAUCUUUGAACGCACAUUGCGCUCGCCAGUAUUCUGGCGAGCAUGCCUGUUCGAGCGUCAUUUCAACCAUCAAGCUCUGCUUGCGUUGGGGAUCCGCGUCUGACGCGGUCCCUCAAAAACAGUGGCGGGCUCGCUAGUCACACCGAGCGUAGUAACUCUACAUCGCUAUGGUCGUGCGGCGGGUUCUUGCCGUAAAACCCCCAAUUUCUAAAGUUGACCUCGGAUCAGGUAGGAAUACCCGCUGAACUUAAGCAUAUCAAUAAGCGGGAGGA